AUGGCGCCCCCCUCCACCUCCACCUCCGCCUCCUCGGUCCUCCUCCUCCGCCGCCUCCCCUCCCCGGCCUCCGCCGCCCAGCGCCGCUGCCGCCUCGGCCCGCCGCCCCGCCUCCGCGCCGCCCGCCCGCGGGUCUCCCUCACCAGCGACGUCUCCUCCUCGUCCGACGUGGCCGAGGAGGAGGCCGAGCACGCGCCCAAGGUCGGCAGGCGCGUGCGCGUCACGGCGCCCCUCCGCGUCUACCACGUCGUCAAGGCGCCCGACCUGGACAUCCAGGGCAUGGAGGGCGUCAUCAAGCAGUACGUCGGCGUCUGGAAGGGCAAGCGCAUCACCGCCAACUUCCCCUUCAAGGUCGAGUUCCAGCUCACCGUCGACACCCAGCCCAAACCGGUCAAGCUCUUCGUCCACCUACGCGAGGACGAGUUCGAGUACAUCGCCGACGAAUGA
rnacentral:rRNA from 1 species